GAUGAAGAACGCAGCGAAAUGCGAUAAGUAAUGUGAAUUGCAGAAUUCAGUGAAUCAUCGAAUCUUUGAACGCACAUUGCGCCCGCCAGUAUUCUGGCGGGCAUGCCUGUUCGAGCGUCAUUUCAACCAUCAAGCCCCCGGCUUGUGUUGGGGACCUGCGGCUGCCGCAGGCCCUGAAAACCAGUGGCGGGCUCGCUGUGACACCGAGCGUAGUAGAUUUUCAUCUCGCUCAGGGCGUGCUGCGGGUUCCGGCCGUAAAAAGCCUUAUUUACCCAAGGUUGACCUCGGAUCAGGUAGGAAGACCCGCUGAACUUAAGCAUAUCAAUAAGCGGAGGA
rnacentral:misc_RNA from 1 species